GAUGAACGCUGACAGAAUGCUUAACACAUGCAAGUCUACUUGAACUUCGGUUUGGGUGGCGGACGGGUGAGUUACGCGUAAAGAACUUGCCUCACAGAUAGGGACAACAUCUGGAAACGAAUGCUAAUACCUGAUAUUAUGAUUUUAAGGCAUCCUAGAAUUAUGAAAGUUAUAUGCACUGUGAGUGAGCUUUGCGUCCCAUUAGCUAGUUGGAGAGGUAACGGCUCACCAAGGCGUUGAUGGGUAGACGGCCUGAGUGGGUGAACGGCCAGACAGAGAGUGAGAGAGGGCCCUCACUGCUACGGGAGGGAGGAGUGGGGAAUAUUGAAUGAUGGACGAAGAGUAGGAUGCAGCAGUUCUGUGGGGACGAUGAAGUAUUUCGGAGUGUAAAGUGGUUUCAGUUGGGAAGAAAAAAAUGACGGUACCAGCAGAAGAAGUGCCGGCUAAAUACGUG
rnacentral:rRNA from 1 species